UGUGAUUCAUAAGUUGUGAAUUCAAUUUACUUAUCCGAUCGUAUAAAAAAUGAUUUGUGUAUGUUAGUUGAGAGUGCACGCUUAAUUUUCAUGCAUGAAUUUAACGCUAGAAUAUAAGGGAGUUUCACCUAAUCGUUAUGAACUUAUAUUCACAAGUAGUGAAGGUUGCUAGUCACAAUCACGUUAAGUAAAUUCUUGGCAUAAGUUUCAUGCAAAUCAUAGUAACGAGUGCUUCGUCAAUGCUUAUGUUUUUCAUAGAACUUAAUGAUUCUUGCUUGUAUCUCUAUUAUGCAAUUCAUGUAGGGAACUUGUAGGGAAUGUUUUGGGUUGUCGUAUGCAAUCAUCCAACCCAAUAACUUGUGGAAAAAUUGAGGGUUAAUUAGUGCAAUUCACGGUUAAUUUGGGGCGUUGAGUAUUCAUAGCUUAUCGAAAAGCAACUGGAA
rnacentral:lncRNA from 1 species